GACGAACGCUGGCGGCGCGCUUAACACAUGCAAGUCGAGCGAUGAAAUUUCGACAGAUCCCUUCGGGGUGAAGAUGAAAUGGAUUAGCGGCGGACGGGUGAGUAACACGUGAGUAACCUGCCUUUGACAUUGGGAUAGCCUCGGGAAACUGGGAUUAAUACCAAAUGACACUAACUGAUCACAUGAUCAAUUAGUCAAAGAAAUUCGGUCAAAGAUGGACUCGCGGCUGAUUAGCUAGUUGGUGAGGUAACGGCCCACCAAGGCGACGAUCAGUAGCCGGCCUGAGAGGGUGAUCGGCCACAUUGGAACUGAGACACGGUCCAAACUCCUACGGGAGGCAGCAGUGGGGAAUAUUGCACAAGGGGGGAAACCCUGAUGCAGCGACGCCGCGUGAGCGAAGAAGGCCUUCGGGUCGUAAAGCUCUUUUAUGAGGGAAGAUAAUGACGGUACCUCAAGAAAAAGCCCCGGCUAACUACGU
rnacentral:rRNA from 1 species